rnacentral:rRNA from 1 species
GACAGAGGGGGCAAGCGUUGCUCGGAAUCACUGGGCGUAAAGGGCGCGUAGGCGGGAUGGCAAGUCGGUCGUGAAAUCCUUCGGCUCAACCGAAGAACGUCGGCCGAUACUGCCGUUCUUGAGGGAUGCAGAGGAGAUUGGAAUUCCCGGUGUAGCGGUGAAAUGCGUAGAUAUCUGGAGGAAUACCGGUGGCGAAGGCGGCAUCCUGGACCGACAUUGACGCUGAACGGCGAAAGCUAGGGGAGCAAACGGG